rnacentral:lncRNA from 1 species
CACAAGUUGAAUAAUUUUGUCAAAUGCUAAAGUUCGGAAUUUGCAAGGGGAAAGAAGCUGGAAAAAGUAAGAUCUCAGUUGAUAUUUGAAUUUCUCGGUGAAAAGACCCGAAAAACUUUUGAAAGGUUCAAAAGGAAGUAAUAAAAAUGGGGGAAAAAAAAUUAUUUUUCCUAGAAAUGGCCGCGAAGGAAAAAUUUUCACAUUACCAGGGAUUUUCUUUUUCCAUGAUAAAUUGGUGAAUUAUUACAAUCACCAGGGCACU